GACGAACGCUGGCGGCGUGCUUAACACAUGCAAGUCGAACGGAAAGGCCUCUUUCGGGGGGUACUCGAGUGGCGAACGGGUGAGUAACACGUGAGUAACCUGCCCUUGACUUUGGGAUAACUUCAGGAAACUGGGGCUAAUACCGGAAAGGAGUUCCUGCUGCAUGGUGGGGGUUGGAAAGUUUCGGCGGUUGGGGAUGGAUUCGCGGCUUAUCAGCUUGUUGGGGGGGUAGUGGGUUACCAAGGCUUUGACGGGUAGCCGGCCUGAGAGGGUGACCGGCCACAUUGGGACUGAGGUACGGCCCAGACGCCGACGGGAGGAAGCAGUGGGGAAGAUUGCACAAGGGGUGGAGGCCGGAUGCAGCAACGCCGUGGGCGGGAUGACGGCCUUCGGGUUGUAAACCGCUUUCGCUCAUGACGAAGCUUUGUGUGACGGUAGUGGGUAAAGAAGCACCGGCUAACUACGUG
rnacentral:rRNA from 1 species